UCCCUGGUGGUCUAGUGGUUAAGACUCUGUGCUUCCAAUGCAGGAGCACAGGUUCAAUCCCUGGUUGGGAA
rnacentral:tRNA from 1 species